GACGAACGCUGGCGGCGUGCUUAACACAUGCAAGUCGAACGGUAAGGCCCCAGCUUGCUGGGGUACACGAGUGGCGAACGGGUGAGUAACACGUGGGUGACCUGCCCUGCACUUCGGGAUAAGCCUGGGAAACUGGGUCUAAUACCGGAUAGGACCGCACCGUGGGGGUGUGGUGGAAAGUUUUUCGGUGUGGGAUGGGCCCGCGGCCUAUCAGCUUGUUGGUGGGGUAAUGGCCUACCAAGGCGGCGACGGGUAGCCGGCCUGAGAGGGUGGACGGCCACAUUGGGACUGAGACACGGCCCAGACUCCUACGGGAGGCAGCAGUGGGGAAUAUUGCACAAUGGGCGGAAGCCUGAUGCAGCGACGCCGCGUGGGGGAUGACGGCCUUCGGGUUGUAAACUCCUUUCACCAUCGACGAAGGUUUUCUGACGGUAGAUGGAGAAGAAGCACCGGCUAACUACGUG
rnacentral:rRNA from 1 species